rnacentral:rRNA from 1 species
AUGGCGAUCAGGGAGGCGUUGGCCCUUGCGGAUGAUCUGAAUGUUUCAACUAUACAAAUGGCGUCCGACUCGAAGGUGGUGGUCGAGGACAUCCGAGACAACGAUCCUACAGCAUAUGGAGCUCGAAUAUCGAAGCUCACAAGCUCGCGAAGCAUGCUUUAUCCCUUUCGGCUGGUCGACAUGUUUGGUUGGGUCAGCCGGACGGACUCUCUUUCGUUCAUAUAA